rnacentral:rRNA from 1 species
GUCUCCGUAGGUGAACCUGCGGAGGGAUC